rnacentral:rRNA from 1 species
AGCGAACGCUGGCGGCAGGCCUAACACAUGCAAGUCGAACGAACCUUUCGGGGUUAGUGGCGGACGGGUGGGUAACCCGUGGGAACGUGCCUUUAGGUUCGGAAUAACUCAGGGAAACUUGUGCUAAUACCGAAUGUGCCCUUCGGGGGAAAGAUUUAUCGCCUUUAGAGCGGCCCGCGUCUGAUUAGCUAGUUGGUUGAGGUAAUGGCUCACCAAGGCGACGAUCAGUAGCUGGUCUGAGAGGAUGAUCAGCCACAUUGGGACUGGGACACAGCCCAAACUCCUACGGGAGGCAGCAGUGGGGAAUCUUGCGCAAUGGGCGAAAGCCUGACGCAGCCAUGCCGCGUGAAUGAUGAAGGUCUUAGGAUUGUAAAAUUCUUUCACCGGGGACGAUAAUGACGGUACCCGGAGAAGAAGCCCCGGCUAACUUCGUG